rnacentral:rRNA from 1 species
AUGGCCAUCUCGAAGUCGAAGGGAGGGCUCGCAUUCUGAGACCUAGAGUUGUUUAAUGAUGCCAUGUUAGCAAAACAGGCAUGGAAACUCUUGGUUAAGCCAGAGAGCUUGUGUUCAAGGGUAUUGCGAGGGCGGUAUUACCCUGAUGGAAAUUUCCUACAGGCUACUUGUCCAGCUAGGUCAUCCCGUACAUGGCAGGCGAUCAUACAAGGAUGGGAGGUCCUUGAUGUCGCUUGA